rnacentral:tRNA from 1 species
AGCCCUGUGGUGUUUCCACGCAAGAGUGCAAAUCUUGAGAAGAACCCCAAAAGGCGUUCCUGGGCUU